GAUAACAGGCUGAUACCGCCCAAGAGUUCAUAUCGACGGCGGUGUUUGGCACCUCGAUGUCGGCUCAUCACAUCCUGGGGCUGAAGUAGGUCCCAAGGGUAUGGCUGUUCGCCAUUUAAAGUGGUACGCGAGCUGGGUUUAGAACGUCGUGAGACAGUUC
rnacentral:ncRNA from 1 species